CCAAAAAUUAAAAACCCCGCUUUGUUUCCACCAGCUGAAAACCCUAGCUUAUCCCCGCGAAAACCCCUUUUCUUUCUUUGUUCUCUCUCGAUUCUCAAACCUCCACCGCUUCACUGCCCACCGACGAACUCCGCUCACCUCUUCCCCACCCCCACCUCCGAAAUUCAGUUGUUUCAAAUUUGGGGGUUAUUACCCCAGUUCCUUUCGAUUGCUCUCUGAUUAAACGAUUUAUUACCGAUUGCAAAGCCUUCACAAAUCCUACCUCGAUUCCAUCGCCAUCUACUUCUUCCCAACGGAGACCUGAUUUUACUUCAUCGUCGUCUACUUUUCCCUCUAUCGUUAUCAUUCUCUCUCCACCUGCCUCCACAAACCAUUUGUACCUUAUACCAUUUAACGCCUUUCUCCCAGUUGAAGUUGAAGACAAACACUGAAAUCGAUAUGUUUACUGUUUAGGGUUACCAUGCUCUGUUUCCAGGUUUGACGUUAUCAAUCUGGUUCGUUUUUCUUCAACAAAAUGUAAUUAUGUAAAAAAAUUUACAACAUUGUCAUUCUUUUAUUGGUUUUCUCAUUUGUUUUUCAAGGAAAUCUGGAACAUAUUUCAUCAGUUCUUCUAUUCUAACCGUUAAACAUCUCUAUAAUUGAUCCCCAAAAAGAAAUUUUUAUAAAAAAUACCUUCGAUUCCUUGCUUAACCCCUUGGUGUUUGCGUAAUUAGUUUUUUUCUUGUCACUCUAUUAAUGGAUUUAUUCAGGAAACAACAGUUAUUUUGAUGAUGGAGAAGAACCCAUGUACGGUAGGUAAACCCAUGUUACUAAAUAUUUUUCAUAUUGUGUUCUUUGGCUUUUAUUGCUCAACUCACAAGCUUGUAACCUACAAGAGCAGUUCCACAUGCUCGAGCAACAUUUGGAGGGCAUCUUCUGCAGUGUGAUUUCUAAUCUGUCUCAUAAUGAUGGUGUUCGUCUCUGUAUUGGAGGAUGAAAUCUUUUUACACCUAAAAACAAAAAAAAAAAAAAAAAAAAAAAAAAAAACUUCUACAGCACAAAUGGGACAUAUCACAACUGGCAAAAGUUACAUAUGAUAUAUGCACAAAGAAAAAGAAAUCUCCCCUGGUAUUUUAGAAAUCAUCCUAGAGGUGGGUUUGUGCAACCCCUCCCUCCUGGUCUGGGGUUCAUAGCCCUAACAUAUUUGUAAGUUUUUCAGUUGGGUCAAAUUGUUUUGUCAACUAGGUCCUUUGUUGAUGAAUAUGAUGGAAAAUUUUGUCCAGAUCAUCAACAUGGUGCAGAGAAUAAGUGCUUCCAUUUAUACUUAUGAAUUUAGUAGAAAACCCAAUUGCACUUCACAUGUUUGAUGAAAUGCCUCAAUGAGACAUAUGACUUUAAUUUUCACAAAAUGUAAGGUUACUUGUUUUUGAAUAUUUUCAACAAGAGGUGGUUUUAGAAAGGUGAUGGCUUGGGGUUUAGUUGCGCAACAUGAUAAUCUUCAUAUAAAUGAAUCUUUUUUCCAUCUAUGUUGUGUUUGUUAUGAUGCCUUAUCUUUCUUGUUUUUAAGGUAUAUGCGUUGACAUAGCAAGGUCAAAGCAUGAGCAUUGGUCAUCAUUUGCAUCUCUGCCAUUGGAAGUUGUCAUUCCGGCUGGACAAAAGGCAAGGGAGGAUUCUUAGCAAGGUGUCAAGUUCACCAACUUGACAAUUAUCACAUUCUUGUUUCAUUAUAUUUUUAAAUUUCUUUUAAAUUUGUUAUGAUGGAAUGAAAACAGGUGAUGAUGAUUCUAUAGGCAAAAUCGAUAUUCAUGCCAUCAAUGACAUAUAUGGGGACAAAAAAUAUCGAGAGUAUGCUUUAAGUUGAAAUGGGAAAAGGACUAAAGUUAUAAUUGAAUCUUCCAGGAUUGGUAGUGUGAUAGAAGAGGAAAAAGGACAGAUGCCAAUAUUUUAUAGUGGGAAGGUGAAUGUGUAUGAUGAUAUCCCAACUGAUAAGGAACGUGCCUUAUUACAGCUUGCUGCAAGCCCUCUUCAGUUUCCUCAUGAGGAUCCAGUUGAUGGAAACUUGUUGCAACAACCUCCAAACAUCAAUCUGCCAAUCUUGCGAACAGUGAGAACGACUAAUAACUAUCGAUUGAACAAAGAGGAAAGCAAUAUAUCGCAUGAAGAAAUCUCUGUUGAAGGUUUAGCAAGAAGAAAAGCAUCGGUGCAAAGAAAUCUAGAGAAGUGGAAAUAUAGGUAUUGUGUUACUUGGCUUCACUAUUUCCAGAAAACAUAAACUUGUUUUGGCAAGAUGAGUAUUCUUGCUCAAUGAUUUGUUUCCUACAAUGGAUAGUGCUUAUCAUGCUCGGCCAUCUGGCCAGACCUCUGCAUUGCCUCCUACAAGACAGUAGUACAAAUAAACCUGGUAGUGAAGUGAAGUCUUCUGAGAGACCUGGUAACACAUGAUUACAAAGAAGUUCCUCAAACCAAAUGCAACCACAAAGUGCCUCACACCUCCUGUAAGUUCUCAAAAGAAAAUAAUCGAUUAUGGCAUAAUUCCUCUGUUACGCCGCUUUUUAUUAAGUGAUGAUUAUGAGAAGUUAUCAGCAAUUGAAGCAUAUGAUGCACAAGACGAAUCUUACACAAUGGUCUGGAUCAAGCUUGCCUCUUCAGGAAGUUAGCUCGAUGCUGUUGGAAAAGCUUAUUGCAGCACGUAUUGGAGAUCGACCUGUUGUAUUUGUAACUCAUAGCAUGGGGGGAUUGGUUGUGAAACAGAUGCUACAUCAAGCAAGUGCAGAAAACAGAGGCAAUCUUGUCAAAAACAGUGUUGGUGUGUUACAGGACAUGAGUAUCGGCACAUCAUGGAACAUUUAGGUUAGUUGUUGUUUUUCCUCUUGGUGAUCCAUCAAUGAAGUGGCCAACAUCAUGUAAUAACAUUUUAGGGGAAGAUGUAUGUAUAUGUUUUUUUAAUGAAUAAUGUAAUCAUAUGUAUGAAUAUAAAAUACAGUUUGUUAUUUGUAUGACAAAAAAUUUUAUGUAAUGGAUAGUA